AUGUUCGGGAUGCGGGCGAGCAGCGCGGCGGCGUCGUGGGUGGUGGGGCGGAUGGGCACGGACGCGCACCUGUACGAUGACCCGGAGGACGCCACCAUCCCGGCGCUGCUCGACUCCCACUUCGACGCCGACAAGGUCGAUGUCGCCCACCUUUUCCCCCAGGUCCCCUUCGCCAAAUCGAGGCCUCAUGCUUCCUGCAGCACCAAUAGAGGAAUCCAGCAGCAGCAGCAGCUACCGGGUGAGCGGAGGCCACUGGGCCCCCGCAAUGGCCUCCGCCGGAGGCUUCGGGAGGCUCUCACUUCUCCUCGCGCUGUCGCUGUCCACGGCGAGGCUCCGAGGAGGUUCUGUAUCAAGGACGACGCCUUCUGGAAGGACAGGGUGCCGUUCCAAAUCGUCGGCGGCGACGUGCACUACUUCCGCAUUGUCCCCGAGGUGACUGAAUCCCCCCACCCCUUUUCCGCUGACUGUAUUCUGUACAGCUUAUUAGAUUAUGGUGGGAGCUGCCACGGCUAG
rnacentral:rRNA from 1 species